rnacentral:rRNA from 1 species
GAGUUUGAUCCUGGCUCAGGAUGAACGCUAGCGGCAGGCCUAAUACAUGCAAGUCGAACGGUAGACUUUUCUUCGGAGAAGUUGAGAGUGGCGCACGGGUGCGUAACGCGUAUGCAACCUACCCUUAACAGGGGGAUAGCCCAGAGAAAUUUGGAUUAAUACCCCAUAGUACUACAAGAUGGCAUCUGAAAGUAGUUAAAGAUUUAUCGGUUAAGGAUGGGCAUGCGUGACAUUAGCUAGUUGGUGAGGUAACGGCUCACCAAGGCAACGAUGUCUAGGGGUUCUGAGAGGAUGAUCCCCCACACUGGUACUGAGAUACGGACCAGACUCCUACGGGAGGCAGCAGUAGGGAAUAUUGGUCAAUGGGCGAGAGCCUGAACCAGCCAUGCCGCGUGCAGGAAGACAGCUUUCUGAGUUGUAAACUGCUUUUAUAUGGGAAGAAAAAAGGCCUUGCGAGGCAAAUUGCCGGUACCAUAUGAAUAAGCACCGGGCUAACUCCGUGCCAGCAGCCGCGGUAAUACGGGAGGGUGCAAGCGUUGUCCGGGAUUUAUUGGGUUUAAAGGGGUGCGUAGGCGGAUUCUUUAAGUCAGUGGUGAAAUCCUGCAGCUUAACUGUAGAACCUGCCAUUGAUACUGG